AGUGAACGCUGGCGGUAGGCCUAACACAUGCAAGUCGAACGGCAGCACAGUAAGAUCUUGCUCUUACGGGUGGCGAGUGGCGGACGGGUGAGGAAUACAUCGGAAUCUACUUUUUCGUGGGGGAUAACGUAGGGAAACUUACGCUAAUACCGCAUACGACCUACGGGUGAAAGCAGGGGAUCUUCGGACCUUGCGCGACUGAAUGAGCCGAUGUCGGAUUAGCUAGUUGGCGGGGUAAAGGCCCACCAAGGCGACGAUCCGUAGCUGGUCUGAGAGGAUGAUCAGCCACACUGGAACUGAGACACGGUCCAGACUCCUACGGGAGGCAGCAGUGGGGAAUAUUGGACAAUGGGCGCAAGCCUGAUCCAGCCAUACCGCGUGGGUGAAGAAGGCCUUCGGGUUGUAAAGCCCUUUUGUUGGGAAAGAAAAGCAGCAGGUUAAUACCCCGCUGUUCUGACGGUACCCAAAGAAUAAGCACCGGCUAACUUCGUG
rnacentral:rRNA from 1 species